rnacentral:rRNA from 1 species
CCCUUAGAUGUUCUGGGCCGCACGCGCGCUACACUGAUGAAUGCAACGAGCUCUACCCUUGACCGAAAGGCCCGGGUAAACUUGUGAAACCUCAUCGUGAUGGGGAUAGAUUAUUGCAAUUAUUAAUCUUCAACGAGGAAUUCCUAGUAAGCGCGAGUCAUCAGCUCGCGUUGAUUACGUCCCUGCCCUUUGUACACACCGCCCGUCGCUCCUACCGAUUGAAUGGUCCGGUGAAAUCUUCGGAUUGCUGACCAAGAUCCAGCAAUGGAGCUUGGUUGCGAGAAGUUGAUUAAACCUUAUUAUUUAGAGGAAGGAGAAGUCGUAACA